GCCCAGCUGGCUCGGUCAGUAGAGCGUGGAACUCUUAAUUUCAGGGUCUUGAGUUCAAGCCCCACACUGGGCG
rnacentral:tRNA from 1 species